CUCCACUUCUGGAGAGUAGGCUCCCUUCCUGAUUGCACAGAGAGCUGUUGUCUGGGACAGUGAUCUAUUCUGACUCCCUGGCCACGUGGAUUCAGGUGCACCCCGCCACCUAUUGGCAGGCAACGAUCAUUAUAGGAGAAGAAAAAUUGUGGAUACCAUCAAAAUUAAUAAAGAUUCGAUUUGAAAAGGAGAAACCUCUUGGAAAGAUGAAAUGACAGCUCAUCCACAAUGAUGAUAUUCAUACAGGUGGUAAGAAAAACAUAUAGAAUGGGGGUAGGGUUCUGUUCUUAUUUCCACAGGAAAAUAUUCAUCUUUGAAAAAU